AUGGCAAGGAACAUACUACAUGGCCAAAUAAAACGGGUUAAGCUGAAUCGGCCCAGCCACCUUCCUUAUCUCAGCGAUUUUUUCUGCACCUCUGGUCAUACUCCGGGCGAUCCGGACGAACAAGUUGGUAUCACCAAAGGGAAAGCUAGAGCAAAAACGAGGAAGGAAACCAUGAAAGGCAAUGUAUCAGCGGCCACUGUAAUUAAAAAUAGUAGCCAUCGCGACGGGUCUAUAUACAAGAACUCUUGUCUCGACGUAUGUCGUGUUAAAAACCGUGCUGAGACACAAUUGGAGCCAAUGAUGUUAUCAGAUCCUGUUGAUUGCUUUCCUGAUCGGAGAAGGUGUUGUCUUCAUUUUGUAUCUGACAUGAUGCAAAUUUUCUCACUAAAAUUGGCUAAAGUUCCCAACCACACAAGUUCGAUACAAUUAUAUGGAUAUAUAGCAGCACGGGAUUUUCUGGAUAACUCACUUAAUUACAUUGUCAAUCAUAGCAGGGACAAUUCCUUUACGGUGCGACAGGGUUCUCUCAUUGAGAUGACUGGCCCUAAGAGGGGCAUCACAAUGACCUGUGUUGUUCUAGUCGAGUAUGACAUGAGGGUCAAGAACGGAGAGCAAGAAGAAGAUGAUCUACAAUUAAUUGAUGGUGCAACAGACUUCAGUGAAGUAACCACACCUUCUGUUCCAUUCAUGAAUCGCAUUAAUGGCGAUUAUGGUGCUGUUGACAUCACUUUAGCACGCGUUGUCAAUGCAGUGGAGGCGACAAUAGAUGUUAUCAUAUCAGAAGUGCAGGGUGGAUUCAGUUUAUCUCUCAGUUCGUUUGUCAUUGUCGGUGGGGUCCGUCAGGGAAUUGAGCUGUUUCAUGAUAUUAUUGGUGAGUCAUGUGUCCUAACAAAAAGGCAUGUGAUUGCCGUAGAGAUGGAUGGUUGGAUGCAUUUGAAGCUCAAGGUAGGUCAGAAAGGCUUUAAAAAUGAUGAUCUGGAACGUUAUUGUCGCUUCAAAGCAGACAUCCAUGGAUGUGCACGUCGACAAAUAAUGCUUGAGCAUGCCUCUAUCUUGCUGAAGGUGACUUGGUCGACUCUGCCACCAUAA
rnacentral:rRNA from 1 species